rnacentral:lncRNA from 1 species
CGCCCCAUUAUAGAAAGGGACUGUGUGGAUAUAGACUCCUUGCCUAGGAGACACAGCCCGCUUUACCUGCAGUGGUAAUGGAUUCCUCCUCUCCUUUUUUGUACAAUUAGGAAGCGUCUCCAUUCACCAGGCUCGGACACCUGGUUGCAGUGCUGGGGAUCCGCUGUGGGGAUCCCGUCAAGGCGAUCAGCUCAAAGGCAGCAGAGGCUGUUCAUUACCUCGUCUCUAUUGCGUGGCACCAAAAGAUUGCACAGUUGGACAGAAAGAAUGUGGAAUGGACUGAACAGAGGAACAAAGAAUUUCUGGCUCCUCGGAGCCCCACUGUGGUUUGCAACAGCCCCUCCAGGAUCGCAGAG